UACGUAGGGGGCAAGCGUUGUCCGGAUUUAUUGGGCGUAAAGAGCGUGUAGGCGGCCAGGUAGGUCGGUUGUGAAAACUGGAGGCUCAACCUCCAGACGUCGACCGAAACCCCUUGGCUAGAGUCCGGAAGAGGAGAAUGGAAUUCCUGGUGUAGCGGUGAAAUGCGCAGAUAUCAGGAAGAACACCCGUGGCUAAGGCGGUUCUCCGGGACGGUACUGACGCUGAGACGCGAAAGCGUGGGGAGCGAACAGG
rnacentral:rRNA from 1 species